UACGGAGGGGGCUAGCGUUGUUCGGAAUUACUGAGCGUAAAGCGCGCGUAGGCGGACCUGCAAGUCGGGGGUGAAAGCCCGAGGCUCAACCUCGGAACUGCCUUCGAUACUGCGGGUCUCGAGUCCGGGAGAGGUGAGUGGAAUUCCUAGUGUAGAGGUGAAAUUCGUAGAUAUUAGGAAGAACACCAGUGGCGAAGGCGGCUCACUGGCCCGGUACUGACGCUGAGGCGCGAAAGCGUGGGGAGCAAACAGG
rnacentral:rRNA from 1 species